rnacentral:rRNA from 1 species
UAAAGUUAAACAUUCUCCAAAUUGUUAUACACCACUUCGAGCAUAUGAAAUCCACUCACGAAAGUAACUUUAGGCCCCCGACCCCACGAAAGCUAAGAAACAAACUGGGAUUAGAUACCCCACUAUGCUUAGCCUUAAACCUAGAUGUUAAUAAUACAAAAAACAUCCGCCAGGGUACUACGAGCGCUAGCUUGAAACCCGAAGGACUUGACGGUGUCUCAGACCCGCCUAGAGGAGCCUGUUCUAGAACCGAUAAUCCUCGUUCAACCUCACUACCCCUUGUUCUCCCAGCCUAUAUACCGCCGUCGCAAGCUUACCCUUUGAAGGAUAAACAGUAAGCAAAAUGAAUUUAACCCUCAGAACGUCAGGUCGAGGUGUAGCCUAUGGGGUAGAAAGAAAUGGGCUACAUUUUCUAUACUAGAAUAUACGAAUGGUGCCAUGAAAUAGGCCCCUGAAGGUGGAUUUAGCAGUAAAAAUCAAGCAGAGAGUCAUUUUGAAGCAGGCUCUGAGACGCGCACACACCGCCCGUCGCUC